GUCUUCAUUUUGCAGUCAUCAUCUGUACGAAUUCUUCAUAGUUGACUUGUCCAUCUCCAUCGAUAUCUGCUUCUCUGAUUAUCUCAUCUACUUCUUCAUCCAUU